CCUUAGCAGAGCUCUGGAGUGUGACAAUGGUGUUUGUGUCCAAAACAUCAAACGCCAUCAUCACACUAAACAGCUACUGCUAGGC
rnacentral:pre_miRNA from 1 species